rnacentral:rRNA from 1 species
GGGUUGUGAGGUUAAGCGACUAAGCGUACACGGUGGAUGCCCUGGCAGUCAGAGGCGAUGAAGGACGUGCUAAUCUGCGAAAAGCGUCGGUAAGGUGAUAUGAACCGUUAUAACCGGCGAUGUCCGAAUGGGGAAACCCAGUGCAAUUCGUUGCACUAUCGUUAACUGAAUACAUAGGUUAACGAGGCGAACCGGGGGAACUGAAACAUCUAAGUACCCCGAGGAAAAGAAAUCAACCGAGAUUCCCCCAGUAGCGGCGAGCGAACGGGGAGCAGCCCAGAGUCUGAAUCAGCUUGUGUGUUAGUGGAACGGUCUGGAAAGUCCGACGGUACAGGGUGAUAGUCCCGUACACCAAAAUGCACAGGCUGUGAACUCGAAGAGUAGGGCGGGACACGUGGUAUCCUGUCUGAAUAUGGGGGGACCAUCCUCCAAGGCUAAAUACUCCUGACUGACCGAUAGUGAACCAGUACCGUGAGGGAAAGGCGAAAAGAACCCCGGCGAGGGGAGUGAAAAAGAACCUGAAACCGUGUACGUACAAGCAGUGGGAGCACCUUCGGGUGUGACUGCGUACCUUUUGUAUAAUGGGUCAGCGACUUAUAUUCUGUAGCAAGGUUAACCGUAUAGGGGAGCCGCAGGGAAACCGAGUCUUAACUGGGCGUUAAGUUGCAGGGUAUAGACCCGAAACCCGGUGAUCUAGCCAUGGGCAGGUUGAAGGUUGGGUAACACUAACUGGAGGACCGAACCGACUAAUGUUGAAAAAUUAGCGGAUGACUUGUGGCUGGGGGUGAAAGGCCAAUCAAACCGGGAGAUAGCUGGUUCUCCCCGAAAGCUAUUUAGGUAGCGCCUCGUGAACUCAUCUUCGGGGGUAGAGCACUGUUUCGGCUAGGGGGUCAUCCCGACUUACCAACCCGAUGCAAACUACGAAUACCGAAGAAUGUUAUCACGGGAGACACACGGCGGGUGCUAACGUCCGUCGUGAAGAGGGAAACAACCCAGACCGCCAGCUAAGGUCCCAAAGUCAUGGUUAAGUGGGAAACGAUGUGGGAAGGCACAGACAGCCAGGAUGUUGGCUUAGAAGCAGCCAUCAUUUAAAGAAAGCGUAAUAGCUCACUGGUCGAGUCGGCCUGCGCGGAAGAUGUAACGGGGCUAAACCAUGCACCGAAGCUGCGGCAGCGACACUAUGUGUUGUUGGGUAGGGGAGCGUUCUGUAAGCCUGCGAAGGUGUGCUGUGAGGCAUGCUGGAGGUAUCAGAAGUGCGAAUGCUGACAUAAGUAACGAUAAAGCGGGUGAAAAGCCCGCUCGCCGGAAGACCAAGGGUUCCUGUCCAACGUUAAUCGGGGCAGGGUGAGUCGACCCCUAAGGCGAGGCCGAAAGGCGUAGUCGAUGGGAAACAGGUUAAUAUUCCUGUACUUGGUGUUACUGCGAAGGGGGGACGGAGAAGGCUAUGUUAGCCGGGCGACGGUUGUCCCGGUUUAAGCAUGUAGGCUGGUUAUCCAGGCAAAUCCGGAUAAUCAAGGCUGAGGUGUGAUGACGAGGCACUACGGUGCUGAAGUAACAAAUGCCCUGCUUCCAGGAAAAGCCUCUAAGCAUCAGGUAACAUCAAAUCGUACCCCAAACCGACACAGGUGGUCAGGUAGAGAAUACCAAGGCGCUUGAGAGAACUCGGGUGAAGGAACUAGGCAAAAUGGUGCCGUAACUUCGGGAGAAGGCACGCUGGUGUGUAGGUGAAGUCCCUGCGGAUGGAGCUGAGACCAGUCGAAGAUACCAGCUGGCUGCAACUGUUUAUUAAAAACACAGCACUGUGCAAACACGAAAGUGGACGUAUACGGUGUGACGCCUGCCCGGUGCCGGAAGGUUAAUUGAUGGGGUUAUCCGUAAGGAGAAGCUCUUGAUCGAAGCCCCGGUAAACGGCGGCCGUAACUAUAACGGUCCUAAGGUAGCGAAAUUCCUUGUCGGGUAAGUUCCGACCUGCACGAAUGGCGUAAUGAUGGCCAGGCUGUCUCCACCCGAGACUCAGUGAAAUUGAACUCGCUGUGAAGAUGCAGUGUACCCGCGGCAAGACGGAAAGACCCCGUGAACCUUUACUAUAGCUUGACACUGAACAUUGAGCCUUGAUGUGUAGGAUAGGUGGGAGGCUUUGAAGCGUGGACGCCAGUCUGCGUGGAGCCAACCUUGAAAUACCACCCUUUAAUGUUUGAUGUUCUAACGUUGGCCCCUGACCGGGGUUGCGGACAGUGUCUGGUGGGUAGUUUGACUGGGGCGGUCUCCUCCCAAAGCGUAACGGAGGAGCACGAAGGUUAGCUAAUCCUGGUCGGACAUCAGGAGGUUAGUGCAAUGGCAUAAGCUAGCUUGACUGCGAGCGUGACGGCGCGAGCAGGUGCGAAAGCAGGUCAUAGUGAUCCGGUGGUUCUGAAUGGAAGGGCCAUCGCUCAACGGAUAAAAGGUACUCCGGGGAUAACAGGCUGAUACCGCCCAAGAGUUCAUAUCGACGGCGGUGUUUGGCACCUCGAUGUCGGCUCAUCACAUCCUGGGGCUGAAG